AGCUUUGCGCAGUGGCAGUAUCGUAGCCAAUGAGGUUUAUCCGAGGCGCGAUUAUUGCUAAUUAAAAUAGAAUAUUUGAUUAAAAGACUGUAGAGUUUAUUAAAUUAUUUAUGUAUUUCUAGAUUAGU
ensembl:snRNA U4 U4 spliceosomal RNA